AUUGAACACUGGCGGCAUGCCUAAUACAUGCAAGUCGAGCGAGCGGCGGACGGGUGAGUAACGCAUGGGGACUGCCCGAUAGAGGGGGAAUAAUUCUGGAAACGGUAGCCAAUACCGCAUACUACUGGAUUACCCAUUUGGGAUUAGCUAGUAGGUGAGGUAAUGGCUCACCCAGGCGACGAACCCUAGCUGGUCUGGGAGGCUGAUCAGCCACACUGGGACUGAGACACGGCCCAGACUCCUACGGAGGCAGCAGUGGGGAAUAUUGCACAAUGGGCGCAAGCCUGAUGCAGCCAUGCCGCGUGUAUGAAGAAGGCCCUAGGGUUGUAAAGUUCUGUCAGUCGGGAGGCGUUACCGACAGAAGAAGCACCGGCUAACUCCGUGCCAGCAGCCGCGGUAAUAC
rnacentral:rRNA from 1 species